rnacentral:rRNA from 1 species
CCUACGGGAGGCUGCAGUGAGGAAUAUUGGUCAAUGGGCGGAAGCCUGAACCAGCCAAGUAGCGUGCAGGAUGACGGCCCUACGGGUUGUAAACUGCUUCUAUACGGGAAUAACGCGCCUUACGUGUAGGGCUUUGCAUGUACCGUAUGAAUAAGGACCGGCUAAUUCCGUGCCAGCAGCCGCGGUAAUACGGAAGGGACGGGCGUUAUCCGGAUUUAAUGGGUUUAAAGGGAGCGUAGGCCGCAUGUCAAGCGUGCUGUGAAAUGUCCGGGCUCAACCCGGGCCUUGCAGCGCGAACUAGCGUGCUUGAGUCCGCGGAAGGCAGGCGGAAUUCGUCGUGUAGCGGUGAAAUGCUUAGAUAUGACGAAGAACCCCGAUUGCGAAGGCAGCUUGCUGCAGCGGAACUGACGCUGAUGCUCGAAAGCGUGGGUAUCGAACAGGAUUAGAUACCCGUGUAGUC